CCUACGGGAGGCAGCAGUGGGGAAUAUUGCGCAAUGGGCGAAAGCCUGACGCAGCGACGCCGCGUGAGGGAUGAAGGUCUUCGGAUCGUAAACCUCUGUCAGCAGGGAAGAACGGUCACUGUGCUAAUCAGCAGUGAAUUGACGGUACCUGCAAAGGAAGCACCGGCUAACUCCGUGCCAGCAGCCGCGGUAAUACGGAGGGUGCGAGCGUUAAUCGGAAUUACUGGGCGUAAAGCGCUCGUAGGCGGUAUGUCAAGUCAAGGGUGAAAUCCCCGCGCUCAACGUGGGAACUGCCUUUGAAACUGGCAAACUGGAGUGUGUGAGAGGAUAGUGGAAUUCCAGGUGUAGGAGUGAAAUGCGUAGAGAUCUGGAGGAACAUCAGUGGCGAAGGCGACUAUCUGGCACAUAACUGACGCUGAGGAGCGAAAGCGUGGGUAGCAAACAGGAUUAGAUACCCGAGUAGUC
rnacentral:rRNA from 1 species